CUACGGGGUGCAGCAGUGGGGAAUAUUGCACAAUGGGCGCAAGCCUGAUGCAGCCAUGCCGCGUGUAUGAAGAAGGCCUUCGGGUUGUAAAGUACUUUCAGCGGGGAGGAAGGGAGUAAAGUUAAUACCUUUGCUCAUUGACGUUACCCGCAGAAGAAGCACCGGCUAACUCCGUGCCAUCAGCCGCGGUAAUACGGAGGGUGCAAGCGUUAAUCGGAAUUACUGGGCGUAAAGCGCACGCAGGCGGUUUGUUAAGUCAGAUGUGAAAUCCCCGGGCUCAACCUGGGAACUGCAUCUGAUACUGGCAAGCUUGAGUCUCGUAGAGGGGGGUAGAAUUGCAGGCGUAGCGGUGAAAUGCGUAGAGAUCUGGAGGAAUACCGGUGGCGAAGGCGGCCCCCUGGACGAAGACUGACGCUCAGGUGCGAAAGCGUGGGGAGCAAACAGGAUUAGAUACCCGCGUAGUC
rnacentral:rRNA from 1 species